rnacentral:rRNA from 1 species
UGGGGAAUAUUGGACAAUGGGCGCAAGCCUGAUCCAGCAAUGCCGCGUGGGUGAAGAAGGCCUGCGGGUUGUAAAGCCCUUUGAGGGGGGAGGAAAGGCGUGCAGUAAAGACCUGCGCGAGUUGACGUUACCCCCAGAACAAGCACCGGCUAACUCCGUGCCAGCAGCCGCGGUAAUACGGAGGGUGCGAGCGUUAAUCGGAAUUACUGGGCGUAAAGCGCACGUAGGUGGUGCGAUAAGUCAGCUGUGAAAGCCCUGGGCUUAACCUGGGAAUGGCAGUUGAUACUGUAGUACUAGAGUGAGAUAAAGGACCGUAGAAUUCCCGGUGUAGCGGUGAAAUGCGUAGAGAUCGGGAAGAACACCGAUGGCGAAGGCAGCGGUCUGGGUCUACACUGACACUGAGGUGCGAAAGCGUGGGGAGCAAACA